rnacentral:misc_RNA from 1 species
GACCUCUCAACCGCUUUGGUAUUCGAUUACAAAAGUCGGCUUGGAACUUGGGUGCCUCUGGCGAAACACGAAGGGUCUUUGCGGACCUGUCGCCCACCCCAAAGUCAGUUGGGCCAACCGCGCGGAUGAGCGGACGGUUUGACCACAGUGUUGUAAGGUUCGCCUCACUGUUGGGACGUCCAUUUCCGUCGCUAUCAGGCGUUUGAAAUACGAUACUAUUGA